ACCCUUGUGGAGGAGGACGCCGAAGGUGGGGCUAAUGACUGGGGUGAAGUCGUAACAAGGUAGCCGUACCGGAAGGUGCGGCUGGAUCACCUCCUAACAGGGAGACAACAAAAUGUUUAAUAUUAUUAUUUUGUCACCUUAGGUCGAUCGGUAUCUCACGUUUUUAAUUUAUUAAGAAUUUCAUUUCCUAAGUUUUUCUAGGUCACACCCAUUAUUUUUCCUGGGCCAUUAGCUCAGGUGGUUAGAGCGCACCCCUGAUAAGGGUGAGGUCCCUGGUUCAAGUCCAGGAUGGCCCAUAUCUCUAUGUUGGGGGUAUAGCUCAGUUGGUAGAGCGCCUGCUUUGCAAGCAGGAUGUCAGCGGUUCGAGUCCGCUUACCUCCACUGAUUACCACCUCUUCCAUAACCGAUAGAAAGGAAAUGUUUUGAGUUGUGAUCAAAUUCUGAAAGAAUCUAGCUUCCUAAUGAAAUCAUUAAGAUGCUGGACUCAUUGAAUUAAUUUCAUUGUUUUCAGAGAACCUUGACAACUGCAUAGAUUAUUUUUUAAAGACAAUAAGCAUCUUUAAUGAUGCAGAUUUAUUAUUUGUGCGAAUGCAUUAAUAACAAUUCUAUUAAGCUGAUGCUUCAAAUUUUGAAGUUAUUGGUCAAGCUACAAAGGGCUCACGGAGGAUACCUAGGCACACAGAGGCGA
rnacentral:misc_RNA from 1 species